UAAACGACUCUCGGCAACGGAUAUCUCGGCUCUCGCAUCGAUGAAGAACGUAGCGAAAUGCGAUACUUGGUGUGAAUUGCAGAAUCCCGUGAACCAUCGAGUCUUUGAACGCAAGUUGCGCCCGAAGCCUUGGCUGAGGGCACGCCUGCCUGGGUGUCACACAU
rnacentral:rRNA from 1 species